rnacentral:rRNA from 1 species
AACGAACGCUGGCGGCAGGCCUAACACAUGCAAGCCGAACGCUGCAGCAAUGCAGAGUGGCAGACGGGUGAGUAACGCGUGGGAACCUUCCCAAUGGUACGGAAUAGCCCAGGGAAACUUGGGGUAAUACCGUAUACGCCCUUCGGGGGAAAGAUUUAUCGCCAUUGGAUGGGCCCGCGUCGGAUUAGCUAGUUGGUGAGGUAAUGGCUCACCAAGGCGACGAUCCGUAGCUGGUCUGAGAGGAUGAUCAGCCACACUGGGACUGAGACACGGCCCAGACUCCUACGGGAGGCAGCAGUGGGGAAUAUUGGACAAUGGGCGCAAGCCUGAUCCAGCCAUGCCGCGUGAGUGACGAAGGCCUUAGGGCUGUAAAGCUCUUUUGGCGGGGACGAUAAUGACGGUACCCGCAGAAUGAGCUCCGGCUAACUUCGUGCCAGCCGCCGCCGUAAAAC